rnacentral:sRNA from 1 species
CCCAGAGUGGAGCUCAGCGACAGAGGAAUGCUUCACUGAAAGAAAUGACAGACAGGUCUGUCCCACCCACGGUGACUCAGUCAUUGUUGUUCAUGGCCGCUGCCCGUUCUUCGCGAUCAAAGAGGAGAAUUCUUUGGAGGAAACAGAGCUUUCAUACGUGAAUCAACUGGGAAGCGAGUCAAAAGUACUGCAACUGGAAGUGUGGCAUGGGGAGGGGGCCGUGGCCAGUCUCCUCACUGGGCUCCUGGAAGUGUGGCAUGGGGCAGGGGUCAUGGCCAGUCUCCUCGCUGGGCUCCUGUAGGACUGAGAACACCUACUCCUUCACACCUAAUUAUGUUUGCUGGAUUGGGUUAUAGUUCUUCAGUGUGUGGACUCUUGUCAGUUUUAUAUCCGUAGACCGAGCACAAUGCCUGGAAUACAGAGCAUGCUUAAUAAUCA